CGAACGCUGGCGGCAUGGAUUAGGCAUGCAAGUCGAACGAGAUCUUGAAUGUUCAAGUAGCAAUAUGAGAACAUUCAGGUGAGAGUGGCGAAAGGGUGAGGAAUACGUGAGUAACCUGCCCCCAAGUUGGGAAUAGCUCCGGGAAACUGGAAUUAAUACCGAAUGUGGAAUAUCCUUCGCAUGAGGGAUACUCUAAAGAUUUAUUGCUUGGGGAGGGGCUCGCGUCCCAUCAGCUAGUUGGCGGGGUGAUAGCCCACCAAGGCGACGACGGGUAGCUGGUCUGAGAGGAUGGUCAGCCACACUGGGACUGAGAUACUGCCCAGACUCCUACGGGAGGCUGCAGUCGAGAAUCUUCCGCAAUGCGCGAAAGCGUGACGGAGCAAUGCCGCGUGAGGGAUGAAGGUCUUCGGAUUGUAAACCUCUGUCACCGGGGAGGAAUAAAUGACUGUACCCGGAGAGGAAGCCACGGCUAACUACGUGCCAGCAGCCGCGGUAAUACGUAGGUGGCGAGCGUUGUUCGGAUUUAUUGGGCGUAAAGGGUCCGCAGGGGGCCUGUUAAGUCUGAUGUGAAAUCCCGAAGCUCAACUUCGGAAUUGCAUUGGAAACUGGCGGGCUAGAGCAUCGGAGAGGAGAUUGGAAUUCCAGGUGUAGCGGUGGAAUGCGUAGAUAUCUGGAAGAACACCGAAGGCGAAGGCAGAUCUCUGGACGAUUGCUGACCCUCAGGGACGAAAGCGUGGGUAUCAAACAGGAUUAGAUACCCUGGUAGUCCACGCUGUAAACGUUGUGAACUUGACGUGGGGGGUUUCCUCCGUGUCGGAGCUAACGCGAUAAGUCACCGC
rnacentral:rRNA from 1 species